rnacentral:lncRNA from 1 species
AAAAUUGAACUAGGAUAUCUCUGAUUAACGGAGUAAUAGCUUAUAUGCAAUCAAAUAGAUAAGGUGCUGUGGAGAGAGAGAGAGAGAGAGAGAGAGAGAGAGAGAGAGAGAGAGAGAGAGAGAGAGAGAGAGAGAGAGAGAGAGAGAGAGAGAGAUCAUGGUAUCAAAUAUAUUUAUACUAUAAGCACUGAAACACCAACAUUACGAAAAGCCACAAACAUCACGAAAAGACAAGGAAAAAGUACUGAAACACCAAGAAUAUAAAAAGCAAAGAAAAAAAGGUUUGCAUGAUCGUGCGAGUUAGACUUAAACCAGCAACCAAGGCACCAACUUCAUGACGUUGCAUGCAUUACAUGGUUAUGGCAGGGCUGGACAGACUAGGCGGCUGCUGAUCAUCUUCUUCUUCACGUUUGAUGCUUUAGUCUUGGUGGAAAAAGUAGCGUUUGAAAUGCCAGACCAAAACUGAACUAUAUCAAGAAGAAUCAUGGUCUUCACGAGCUUCCUCUGUGCCGGAAUUACACUUCUAACCUUUGGCUUGAAACCUAGCUCCUCAAUCUUGUUGUCUUCUUCCCCGUCUGGGUUCAGCUCCAAACAACCCUUCUCUACUUCUGAACAUUUCUCCAUUUCCAUGGCCAAUAUAUAUCUCUCUCUCUCUCUCUCUCUCUCUUUCUCUCAGUGUGUGUGUGCGUUUUUGAU